CUGGAACAGACCCAAGCAGAGUUUUGGGGUUCCCAGCUGGUGAGGUCCCCACAAAAACCUGCUCAACAACAGAGUCUCUGAUACAGCAUUAACAAAGACCACCUCCUGCAAAGGCUCCCAGGCCAACUGAGGCCCUGGGGCCUCCAGCCAGCUUUAGGGCAGUAUGUCCUGGUGUUAGUGAGCAUGCAGGUGAAAGGAGAAAACAGGACAAAAGUAUAAAGGAGAAACAUCCCAUCCAGAAAGCCUUGCCUGCAGCCCGGUGCCAUCCUGCCUGUCCUGGAACCCAUAUGCUAGGCUAUUUGGUUUCUGCCCUCAAGGAUGCAGGGAUGGGCAAGGCAAAAAUUCCCUAGGUAAAAACUGAGGCAAUUGAUGAUGGGAGCUGAGGGGACUCUGACUCGGGUAUCACUGCUCCAUCUCAGAACAACCCCCACUGGAGCCUCAGGACUCCGGUUCCAUUUGCCAGAAUGAAACUUGGGCAGUAUGCAUCAGCUUGGGAGGUCCCUGUGACAUUCCAGCCCGGAAAAGGAUCCACAUCCAACAAAGAGAAGGAGCCCAAACCACCCUGGGUUGCUAACUGCUAUGUCAGAACUAGCGUAGCCUAGGCUUCCUGUCUCUGGGCCUUAAUAUCCACAGAGCACAGCAUCUACCACUCAGGGUUGCUCUGUCAUCAGAUGGCACUGCAUUUAGAGAGACCCAGGCAUGACCUAGGACCGUCCAUGUGGCCAUUUGCAGUUCACAUACUUCUCAAGACCCUUCACCCUUUACCUAAUUCAGGACUCUGGGACAGGGCAAAAUAGCCAGGGCACAUGAUUUGCCUGCAGGACAAGCCCAGGCCCAGGGAAGGGAAAACAGUCAAACUGGAGUCAGGACUAGGAGAAGAUCUCAUCCCUGUUUCCUUCUCCCACAACAGCCUGCAUGUGAGCGUGUCCCACAGGCCCCAGAUCACCUCCUCUGGGACACUGGAGGGCUCAGUCCAUCUUGCUGUCUCAUGAGGAAGCAGGGAUGGAGGGCAGGAAUGGAGGGCAGGAGAGGCGUCUUCCCCGGUGAGUCAUAGGGAGACUUGAGUUGUCUGCACCAUUUAGGGACUGGGUACCACGAGGCGUCCCGGGGGCUGGGCCUGCAGGGCCCUCAGAGGCUCCAGCUCCAGGCAGGCGGCCCUGAUCAGGGCGCACGUGGCUGCGGUGCAGCCGCACGGUGAUGUCAGGCCCACCGCGCCCGGGCCCCAGCACGUUCGUCCCGCUGGUGAGCCGGGAACAAAGCGUCCUCCACAUUCCUGUGCGCUGACUCAUAGCCGUCACGUAGCGCACUGCCAGCUGCUUUGCCCAAAAUUGGUGGCGAGGCGAGGGCGGGCCGAGCACCAUGGCCACCGCCUACUCGAAAAGCCACACAAGCUGGACCGCUUCGCGCCCCCGGCAUGAGGUUUCCCAACAAGCACAUCGGAGGGAAAUGACAGCGUGGGCUCUGUGGCCUGGAAUGCGAGGGUGGCAGCAGACAGACUUGAUGUUCGGACAAGAGAUGGGGCUUGCCUAUGGCUCUCUCAGCUGGAAGCUUAACCAACACCUGCAGCUCCAGGUUAUCCUGGACUUAAAAGUUCUCCCCUUCAGUCUCCUGGGGACUCUUUGGGCAACUUAGAAACCUCACCUGCCUCACAAAUGUUGGUACAUCCCCAGUGGACACUGAUCAGCACUGUCCUUGGAACACUGAACCAGAAUGCCAAACUGUACAGCCAUCAGUCCACAAAUCUGGUAUGCGCGUGAACUUUGUGAUAGCUAAGAAACAGCCAUCAGAUCUGAGGGGCCCAGGGGACAUGGGCAAGGAUGGCUAAGGCAAUCCUCACUGACUCUUGUUUCUAG
rnacentral:lncRNA from 1 species